GGGAAUGGUUUUAUAAAAUAAAAGUAUAUGGAAUGGUUUACUUUUCCCUUCUUAUUUUCCCUCCUAUUUUUUAUUAAUUAAAAAUAAAAAAUUAACACACUAAUAUUUUAAUAACUCUUUAAUAUUUGACAUAGAAAGUUCCAUCACUCUCUCUAAACUCUUAGUCUCAAAAACCUUGAAGACCGUCUCUCUUAGCCUCAACCUAGAACACAUCGAUAUCACCAUCGAUGGACUCUGUCGGCCAGCUCUGAUGACGGACGACAACUGCCGGUGAUUGGCGAUUAGUUUCAGCUAACAUACGAGCAAUCUCCGAGGUAAGCUAUCGAUUUUUCCCGUGUUUGAUGUUUGUAUAACUAUUCGAUUUUCUCUUUUUUUUUUGUCCUUAUAUUUUCUUUAAUUUGGCAUUUGGAUUUCUUCUCCUUAGGAAUAGGAGCGCUUUUGGCCUCAGCUGCAUCGUUGUUUUUUACUCCAAUGGCGCCGUUGUUGUUGUUGUUGUUGUUUUUCGAAGGUCGUUGCUUCUGUUUUUCUUGUAUUACAUGAUACAUUUGUGACUCUAGUUUGCAAAAUUAAGGAUUUAUUUGUUAAGUGUUGAUUUUCUGUUUGAAACCAUGAGAUUUUCUUCAUUCGAUGUUUGCUAUCGAUGUUCGCUUUCUUAGUUAUUCAGAAAAAUCUUUUCGCUACUCCUUUUUUCUUUCUCUGGUAAUAUUUUGGAGGCUUUUUUCUUUCUCGAGUAAUUUUUCUUUCGCUACUCCUCCUUCUUCUUCUUCUUCACCGUUUGAGCGUCCAAAUAGCAGUGAAAUAUUGGCGAAUUUGUUUUACCUUCGGUUCUUCUUUCUAAGUUUUCUCCUCUUUACUGAAAUGUUGCCUAGUUCUUCUUUCAUUGUUUUUAUGCUUUCUAGUUUUAACAUAAUGGGUAUACUGGCCUUCCUCUAAAUAUCAUAAGGAGGUUCAACUUUGGAAUACACGUUGCUAGUUAUAAGUGAAACUGGAUCAUUGUUGCCUUUUCUUUUCCUGGAUAUCAUAAUCAUAUAAUGCUGAUCUUUUAACAUUAUUCUACAGAGCUUAAUUUUC
rnacentral:lncRNA from 1 species